UUAAGUGACUAAGCGUACAUGGUGGAUGCCUUGGCAGUCAGAGGCGAUGAAGGACGUACUAACCUGCGAUAAGCUGUGAGAAGUCGGUAAGAGACGCUAUUACUCACAGAUUUCCGAAUGGGGAAACCCACCCAAGAUAACUUGGGUAUCUGUUACUGAAUACAUAGGUAACAGAGGCGAACCGGGAGAACUGAAACAUCUAAGUACCCCGAGGAAAAGAAAUCAACCGAGAUUCCCUCAGUAGCGGCGAGCGAACGGGGAUUAGCCCUUAAGCAUCUUGGAAGUUAGUGGAACGGUCCUGGAAAGGCCGGCGAUACAGGGUGAUAGCCCCGUACACGAAAACAACCUUGAUGUGAAAUCGAGUAGGGCGGGACACGUGAUAUCCUGUCUGAAUAUGGGGGGACCAUCCUCCAAGGCUAAAUACUCCUGACUGACCGAUAGUGAACCAGUACCGUGAGGGAAAGGCGAAAAGAACCCCUGUGAGGGGAGUGAAAUAGAACCUGAAACCGUGUACGUACAAGCAGUGGGAGCCCUUCGGGGUGACUGCGUACCUUUUGUAUAAUGGGUCAGCGACUUACAUUUUGUAGCGAGGUUAACCGUAUAGGGGAGCCGUAGGGAAACCGAGUCUUAACUGGGCGUCUAGUUGCAAGGUGUAGACCCGAAACCGGGUGAUCUAGCCAUGGGCAGGUUGAAGGUUGAGUAACAUCAACUGGAGGACCGAACCCACUAACGUUGCAAAGUUAGGGGAUGACCUGUGGCUGGGGGUGAAAGGCCAAUCAAACUCGGAGAUAGCUGGUUCUCCCCGAAAGCUAUUUAGGUAGCGCCUCGGACGAAUACUACUGGGGGUAGAGCACUGUUUGGGCUAGGGGGUCAUCCCGACUUACCAACCCCAUGCAAACUCCGAAUACCAGUAAGUAAUAUCCGGGAGACACACGGCGGGUGCUAACGUCCGUCGUGAAGAGGGAAACAACCCAGACCGCCGGCUAAGGUCCCAAAGUUCUGGUUAAGUGGGAAACGAUGUGGGAAGGCUCAGACAGCUAGGAUGUUGGCUUAGAAGCAGCCAUCAUUUAAAGAAAGCGUAAUAGCUCACUAGUCGAGUCGGCCUGCGCGGAAGAUGUAACGGGGCUCAAACCAGGCACCGAAGCCGCGGAUUCACACUUAUGUGUGAGUGGUAGGGGAGCGUUCUGUAAGUCUGCGAAGGUGUAUCGAGAGGUAUGCUGGAGAUAUCAGAAGUGCGAAUGCUGACGUAAGUAACGAUAAAGGGGGUGAAAAGCCUCCUCGCCGGAAGACCAAGGGUUCCUGUCCAACGUUAAUCGGGGCAGGGUGAGUCGACCCCUAAGGCGAGGCCGAAAGGCGUAGUCGAUGGGAAGCAGGUUAAUAUUCCUGCACGACUUGUAAUUGCGAUGGGGGGACGGAGAAGGCUAGGUGGGCCAGGCGACGGUUGUCCUGGUGAAAGUGCGUAGGUGGUGUUUGUAGGCAAAUCCGCAGACACAACGCUGAGACACGAGACGAACACACUACGGUGUGGAAGCCAUUGAUGCCCUGCUUCCAGGAAAAGCCUCUAAGCUUCAGAUUACAAGUCAUCGUACCCCAAACCGACACAGGUGGUCGGGUAGAGAAUACCAAGGCGCUUGAGAGAACUCGGGUGAAGGAACUAGGCAAAAUAGAACCGUAACUUCGGGAGAAGGUUCGCUCUGAUGGUGAAGUCCCUUGCGGAUGGAGCUGUCGGGAGUCGCAGUGACCAGAUGGCUGGGACUGUUUAUCAAAAACACAGCACUCUGCAAACACGAAAGUGGACGUAUAGGGUGUGACACCUGCCCGGUGCCGGAAGGUUAAUUGAUGGGGUUAGCGCAAGCGAAGCUCUUGAUCGAAGCCCCGGUAAACGGCGGCCGUAACUAUAACGGUCCUAAGGUAGCGAAAUUCCUUGUCGGGUAAGUUCCGACCUGCACGAAUGGUGUAACCAUGGCCAUGCUGUCUCCACCCGAGACUCAGUGAAAUCGAAUUCGCCGUGAAGAUGCGGUGUACCCGCGGCUAGACGGAAAGACCCCGUGAACCUUUACUACAGCUUGGCACUGAACAUUGAACCUACAUGUGUAGGAUAGGUGGGAGGCUUUGAAGGCGUGACGCCAGUUGCGCUGGAGCCGUCCUUGAAAUACCACCCUUGUAUGUUUGAUGUUCUAACGCAGGGCCCUGAAUCGGGCUCGCGGACAGUGCCUGGUGGGUAGUUUGACUGGGGCGGUCUCCUCCCAAAGAGUAACGGAGGAGCACGAAGGUUGGCUAAUCCUGGUCGGACAUCAGGAGGUUAGUGCAAUGGCAUAAGCCAGCUUAACUGCGAGACGGACAGGUCGAGCAGGUACGAAAGUAGGUCAUAGUGAUCCGGUGGUUCUGAAUGGAAGGGCCAUCGCUCAACGGAUAAAAGGUACUCCGGGGAUAACAGGCUGAUACCGCCCAAGAGUUCAUAUCGACGGCGGUGUUUGGCACCUCGAUGUCGGCUCAUCACAUCCUGGGGCUGAAGUCGGUCCCAAGGGUAUGGCUGUUCGCCAUUUAAAGUGGUACGCGAGCUGGGUUCAGAACGUCGUGAGACAGUUCGGUCCCUAUCUGCCGUGGGCGUUGGAUGAUUGAAGGGAGUUGCUCCUAGUACGAGAGGACCGGAGUGAACGAACCUCUGGUGUUCGGGUUGUCACGCCAGUGGCACUGCCCGGUAGCUAAGUUCGGAAUCGAUAACCGCUGAAAGCAUCUAAGCGGGAAGCGAGCCCUGAGAUGAGUCAUCCCUGACCCCUUGAGGGUCCUAAAGGGCCGUUGGAGACCACAACGUUGAUAGGUGGGGUGUGUAAGCGCGGCGACGUGUUGAGCUAACCCAUACUAAUUACCCGUGAGGCUUAACCA
rnacentral:rRNA from 1 species